rnacentral:tRNA from 1 species
GGAGAGGUGGCAGAGUGGUCGAAUGCACUGGUCUUGAAAACCAGCGUGCCGCAAGGUACCGUGGGUUCGAAUCCCACCCUCUCCG